AUUGAACGCUGGCGGCAGGCCUAACACAUGCAAGUCGAACGAGUGGCGGAAGGGUGAGUAAUGUCUGUGAAACUGCCUGAGGGAGGGGGAUAACUCCUGGAACCGGGAGUUAAUACCGCAUACCAUCAGAUGUUCCCUGAUGGGAUUAGCUAGUUGGUGGGGUAACGGCUCACCAAGGCCACGAGCCCUAGCUGGUCUGAGAGGUUGACCAGCCACAAUGGAACUGAGACACGGUCCAGACUCCGACGGGAGGCAGCAGUGGGGAAUAUUGCGCAAUGGGCGAAAGCCUGAUGCAGCCAUGCCGCGUGUAUGAAGAAGGCCUUCGGGUUGUAAAGUACUUUCAGCAGGGAGGCGUUACCCGAAGAAGAAGCACCGGCUAACUCCGUGCCAGCAGCCGCGGUAAUUC
rnacentral:rRNA from 1 species